GAGGCAAAGUACCCUAUAUACAAGACUGGUCAUGCUUAUUCCUUCACAUGCUUUUCCCCUUAGGUCUGUACUCCUUUCUGCAUAAUAGUGCAAGCUUAACAGGAGGAAUAACAGGAAUCUCCUUCUACCUUGGUACAUACCCUGGGUGAAAGGCUGUUUCCUUGGAGCUGGGAAACGUAGACUUGAACCUUGUCAGGGUGAGUAUAUUCAGCAGUGCUCCGUGACGGUGAUGUUGGCUGUGCAUCCAGGCUGUGGAUGUCAAGACUUCUCCUGACACUCUGUCAGAUCUGACCUGAGCACAUCUCAUCUCCCAUGGGUCCUGCUCUCCUCUGGAAGGAAACUGAGGUGUCUGAGCAAGAAGGGAGAGGAAGUACGAUUGUGACCCAGCUGAGAUUAUUUGGAGGGGCAAGAGCCCAGACAUUGUUGUGA
rnacentral:lncRNA from 1 species